GGACGUUAAAUUAUGGAAAAUUUGAGAGUCAUUGCCUCUGUAUUUUCAUCAGAUAGCACAGGGUGUGACAAGUUCAGACUCCAGUCUCCCUCUCUCUGAAAAAAAACAAACUUUCUUGGAAUUUUCUUCUCAAGUUACAGAGAACAACUUCAAGAGCAUUGAGGAAUCUUAGUGCACUCAGAGGCAAUGUUUAUGACCUGCA
rnacentral:lncRNA from 1 species